rfam:Cavia porcellus supercont2_42 genomic scaffold, whole genome shotgun sequence.
GAGGCACCGAUCACUGCUCCGUCGUCACCUGCGAGGCCCACCUUGGCCACAGGCUCUGGAGGCCAGUGCCU